rnacentral:rRNA from 1 species
GACGAACGCUGGCGGCGUGCCUAAUACAUGCAAGUAGAACGCUGAAGGAGGAGCUUGCUUCUCUGGAUGAGUUGCGAACGGGUGAGUAACGCGUAGGUAACCUGCCUGGUAGCGGGGGAUAACUAUUGGAAACGAUAGCUAAUACCGCAUAAGAGUAGAUGUUGCAUGACAUUUGCUUAAAAGGUGCAAUUGCAUCACUACCAGAUGGACCUGCGUUGUAUUAGCUAGUUGGUGAGGUAACGGCUCACCAAGGCGACGAUACAUAGCCGACCUGAGAGGGUGAUCGGCCACACUGGGACUGAGACACGGCCCAGACUCCUACGGGAGGCAGCAGUAGGGAAUCUUCGGCAAUGGACGGAAGUCUGACCGAGCAACGCCGCGUGAGUGAAGAAGGUUUUCGGAUCGUAAAGCUCUGUUGUAAGAGAAGAGCGAGUGUGAGAGUGGAAAGUUCACACUGUGACGGUAUCUUACCAGAAAGGGACGGCUAACUACGUG